ensembl:antisense Gm36937 predicted gene, 36937
AGUAGAGAUGGGCAUCAAGGCGGGCCGCGGCUUCUGCCAGUUCCCGAGCACUGCACGAGGGUGUGGGCACCUCAAAGGUUUCGUGGAAGCUGGCGUAGUCCACCUCAUAGAAACCAUCCUCCAGGGUGAGCACGGAUGUGAACCGGUGGCCCCACAACACUUCAUCCACCAGAGCCGCCUCCACCCACCCCCAAGCAUUCCCAGACAAUGGGCUGAACUGAUUACACCCCAGGAUUGAAAGCUCACCAUCUCAUUAAAAGUCCAGUCCUUUGUGCAACGUGCCAAUCGUCUUUACAAAUGUGUUUUACAUUUAUGUGUCUAUAUGCGUGCAUAUGUAUGUAUGUGGAGGUCAGAGGACAACUUGGGGAGACAGUUGACUCCCCAAUGUGAGACCUGGUAAUUCAACUCAGGUCAGUAGUCAGGCGUGGU